GUUUUUCAGUUUUCUGGCUUACUGAGCCAUAAACUUGUUAUAAUAAGCAAAAUGUGAAUUUCUCAAGUAAUCCUCAUCACCUGAACCAAGGAACUGCGGUUGCGAGGGAACUAUCAAAUAUCACAAGGCUUGCGAUGAAAUGAGAGUUGGCUACGCUCUGACAACCCCUGUCAGUGAGACAACAACAGCUGUUCUGAACAAACACCACAGCCAGAAAAGAACAAAUUAAUGGUCAGCCAAGGCGAAGUGAAAUGGAGAACAAACAAAGGAUAAACUUGACCAAGCUAUGACCAACCAAGGAUGCUGGUAAUUGUUUGUGUAAUAGCAGGUUCCUUGUUCCUACUGUACAUGUAUGGCAAGAUGCCUGCUAUCAGCUGAGCUGUGAAAAUGAAAGUAUCAGAAUAUCUCUGUGUGUGAACUCUGCAAGAAACAAACACUACCCUCUGCUUAGAAAAAAAAAAAGGCACAAACCAGCAAAACCCAACACCCUUGCUGAAGAAAGCUUUGGUCUUCCAAAAUGAGUGUAAGGGAAAAGUCAGUAGUAGUAAAUUCUACCCUGUCAGAGAACUCUCACCCAAUUUAUUCUGUUUACAGAUUUGGUUUAAUAAUGAUUAUUUCUCACACCUCUUUGUAAAAUAUUCUGAGAUUCACUGAUAAAAAGUGCUAGAGAAUGAAAUAAUAUUCAACUAUUGUACAGUUACAGAUCAUAAUUUUAAUAGUUUUAUAGUUUGAUGAUAAUUUAUUAAUAUCUUGCUUAUGAUUACAACUAAGACUGUAUUUCUUCUUUUGAACCUAUGAAUAAAAUGUAUCACUCAUUUAACUACUUGCUCAGAUCCUCCCACAUCCAGUCAGUCCACCAUCACCCCUGUCACGACACCCAGAGAGCAUGUACAACUGUUCUGAAAAUGUACCCUCAGCAUAAUUUACAAAGAUUAAUCUACUAAUACAGAUGUUUAACUAUCUGUCAAUCAGCACAGAUGGUUUGAUAUAACAUGAGUUUCCAACUAUGUUUCCUGUUUGUCUCUUCUGUUCCCCAUAAAUGUGUUAAGAUUCCAGUUCUGUAUAGUUUGAAGCAGCUUCAGGUUUUCUUGGAAUUAUAAAAUACAAGUUCAGGAAAAAUUCUUUUAUAUCAUACUCUCUAUUACUGCAUAGCACAAAUCCUGCAACACCUGCUGCCCACAAAGUAAGGUGCAUAUCCAUAGCAAGGCUGGUUAAUCUAUUGUGAGAAUGGUGGAUGACCUUCACUGGGUCAUGUGUCAAUAAAAAUAGAUGGGGAAUUCA
rnacentral:lncRNA from 1 species